rnacentral:lncRNA from 1 species
UUGGGGCCCGAAAGAAGGCCUUUCCUCCCCCUCGCCCUCCUCCUCCCAAUUGGGAAAAAUAUAGGCUCUUUCGUGCAGCGCAGCAGCAGCAGCAGCAGCAGCAGCAGCAGCAGCAGCAGCAGCAGCAGCAGCAGCAGCAAUGUGAAAAGGAAGAAGAGGAGGAGAAGGAGCAAGAGGAGAAGGGAGAGAAAGAAGAGGACCUACCGCCCCAGUAUUUUAGUUCAGAAACCACUGGAUCAUGUGCCCCUAUUACAGAGGAGCAGCCACAGUCCCUGAAGAUGGGCCACCAGGAAGCCUCAAGGCAGAGUUCACAGAGCCUCCAAGAGCAAGAGGCCUAUGCUGUGCAUCCCAGCAAUUUUGUGCCUGCAGUAAGGAGCUACCCUGUAACCCAGCCCGAGAAAGCUCAACCUCCUUGCUAUUACGGCGCUCAUGGACUGUGGAGGACAACUGAGCAAGAAGCUACUGUGACCCCAAAACAAGAGUUUCAGCACUUCUCACCUCCUACAGGGGCCUCAGGAAUCCCUACCUCUUACUCAGCUUAUU